AUCCUACCGAGACCCCAGGUCAGUCAG
rnacentral:rRNA from 1 species